GCCCGACGCACCCCUGCCAGUGCCCGGCACAGCGGCGUCGCCAGUCGCGGCGUCAUCCCCAUGCGGAGAGCCAUGGCUUCGAACCUCUGCCCGCCGUCCCCGCUGCUCGUGCGGGUGUCGCAUCCCGGCACCCGCCUACCAUGGAAGCUGGAAAAGUACUUCCAGAGCCGGGAGUCGGGCGGCGGGGAGUGCAUCGUGCAGGCCUGGGACCGCAACGACCCCAACUCGGACACCUUCCGGGUGCAGUUCGUGCAUAGGGCGAGUAAGGAGGGAGUGUUGAAGAAAGGAAAGCACCAAAUUGUGGUUGACAACAAACCUGUGACUAUAUUCCUGGAACCCAAUGACAAUGCAGCAGAGAACACCAGGAUGUCUUCUUUGACACAGUCACAAAAAGGGGCCAGCCCUGGUGAGAAGCAUUCAAAUGAAAAGGACAUUUCUAGCACUGUGGAUUCCUGUGUCCAGAAGAUCUUUCUUACUGUCACAGCUGAACUGAACUGUCACCUGUUCUCUAAAGAGCAGAGGGAACACAUCGCCAUUCUCUGCCCCAGUGUCGAGCGAGUGAAGGGCCAUGAAGGAAUUGAGAAAGUGCGUGGUGACUUCAGAGACAUUGAAAAAAUACAUGGCUUCUUGAGUGAACAACUCCUGGAAAAGGAGCAGAAACGAGAAUCUUCCCCUUUGACAACAGAGAGGGAGCCACUCCAUCAGCAGGACGGGAACAGCUGUGUUUCUCCCUCUGAACCAAAAACCAUGUCGGAAGAAAAAAGCAACCGUUUUGAAGUUCCCUUGGCUUUCUUUGAAUACUUCACAUACACCUGCCCUGAUAAAAUAUACUCAAUAGAGAAAAUGUUUGGUAUAAAAAUUAAAACUCAGAAGAGUUCUCCGAAUAUGGUCUGUUUAGACAUCACCUCAAGUCAAUCAGGUAACCUCGAAGCAGCUUGCGAGUCUUUUGUCAGAGAAUUUCAGAAGCGUGUGAAGACUCUGAAGCAGGAAUGUGUUACCCUGGCAGACAGUAAGCAGGCACACAAAAUCAGACAGGAAUUAAGUCACCAGUUUACAAGGCUCCUUAUAAAGGAGAAAGGAGGAGAAUUAACUCUCCUUGGGACCACAUAUGACAUUGCAGCUGCCAAACGUUUUCUUGCCUCAGAAAUCUCUGAAAGUCUUGUCGAGGCACCUGUGAAAAUAUCGACUCCCAAGCACAUGAUGAAUGGAAUUGAGGUUGACACUGCUCACUAUAAGCUUUUAGAAGCAGAGUUACUCCAGGAGAUAUCACAGAUCGAGAAGAAGUACGACACUCAAAGUAAGGUUUUGGAAACAAGUCAGAAAACCUACAUUCUAUUUGAACCUAAAACCAAGGAGUUAGAUCUAUCUGUGCAUGCGUAUUCAAGUUUCAUUGAUGCCUAUCAACAUGUCUCAGGUCAGAUUAUGAGAGAAGUUCUUUGGCUGAAACUUUUGGGCAAGGAGAGAAAGCACUUACAUGGGACCAAGUUCUCUGAUGACUUUCGAAAAAGGCAUCCAGGUGUAGACUUUGUGCUAAAUCAGGAGUCAGUGACUUUGACUGGGUUGCCAAAUCACCUUACAAAGGCAAAACAGUAUGUCUUAAACAGAGGCGGAACGUCUCCAUUAGCUAGAGAGAAAUGGAAUGAAACACCCACGGACACGGAUAGUAAUGAUUCAAAAACAGCUUCACCAACAUCGCAGCGCUCUACCAGUUCUGAGGCGUCAGAAGUGGACAAGGAAAAGGACAUAUGUACCAUCUGUUUGAACACCAUUAGUAACAGACAAGUGCUCCCAAAGUGCAAGCAUGAUUUCUGCAGCCCUUGUAUCAAGAAAGCCUUGUCAUAUAAGCCAGUCUGUCCUUUGUGCCAGACUUCCUAUGGUGUCCAGAAAGGGAAUCAGCCAGACGGAAACAUGAACGUCAUUUUCAAAAGAGACUCACUUCCAGGUUAUGAAUCCCAUGGCACCAUUGUGAUUAUUUACAGAAUCGAAGGAGGCGUACAAACAAAAGAGCACCCAAACCCAGGAAAGAGAUUUUCUGGAAUAUAUCGAACUGCAUACUUGCCUGAUAACGAGGAAGGAAGAGAGGUUUUGCGGCUGCUUCGUAGGGCCUUUGACCAAAAACUGAUUUUCACAGUGGGAGACUCUCGAGUAUUAGGAGUCUCAGAUGUCAUUACGUGGAAUGAUAUCCACCACAAAACGUCCAGGUGUGGGGGACCAGAAAGGUGAGAAGCUUUUGAAACAGAAUGGCUGCUAAACAGAAUUUAGAGGUCGUAAAACAUGGCAAUUUGAGGAUGUGACUGCAAGGAGACAGUUUCUAGCAGUGGGAUUGGAUGCAGUGUUUUGACAGAUGCUCAUCUGGGGUGAUAAUCUCAAAGACAGAAAGAUUGCUUCCUAUGACCUUCUACCCUCCCAACCACAAAGCGUCAUACAGUUAAUAAAUUUUGCAUCAGUGGGCAGCAGAUCUUCAGAAUCCAAGAUGAAUGGUAUCUAAGGUAUGGCUACCCUGAUCCUGGCUAUCUGAAACGCGUCAAACAGGAGCUGAAGGAUAAAGGAAUUGAGUAAGAAGAGUAUUGGAAGGAUAAGUUGAGCCAAGCUUGCAAAAGGCACAGUUGAAGAAGCAGAGUAAAUUCUAAUCUAAAUCCUUAUGUAAAAACACCUUUAAAACUGUUUCAUCUCAAGAAGUGGUUUGUGGGGAAUUCCCUGGCGGUACAGGGGUUAGGACUCCGAGCGCUUCCACUGCAGGGGGCACAGGUUUGAUCCUGCGGUUGGGGAACUAAAAUCCUGGCUGAACAGCCAGAAAAAAAAAAAAAAGAAGUGCUUUGUGUAAGAGUAAGAAUCUGCUGGUCUGUCAUUUCUGGAGUGUUACAUUUUCUGGAAGAUCUGUGUAAUCUUGCUGCAGAGGUAGUGUGCCUCAUUCUCGUGUCAUCUUUGUGGAGGCUAGAGGGGUGGAGUUCUGUGGAUCUGAAAUCAUCUUCUGUGUUGUUCAGCUGAAGUACCAGCUGUCAGUGGAUCCUCCUUUUAUUGCCAUCUCUCGGGUAGUCCCUCAGUUUUGUCUGUUUGCUCUUUGAUCCCUACCCUAAAAGUAAAACCUUAAUGUGAAGGGUGGUCGGGUGGGAGGAAGGCUUUGGUUAUGGAAAAUUAGAGACCUCCGUUAACCUCCCUGCACCAUGGCCAGAGGAGUGGCCAGGACAGAGACUGAGCAACCUUGGUAAUAAAGGGAAUAAGGCUAUUAUUUUUGACAACACAGAGCCUGGUGAACAGUUGGUGCUUAAUAAAUGUUUGCUGCCUGACUCAAGUUGCUAGUAACCCCGCAGAGAAACAUGUUCCCUAAAUCUUUGGCAGAGGCAGGAGUAAGGAAGACAGCUCUGGAGUCCUCACCACUUAUUUGGGAAACGGAGUUUCUUACUCCAGAACUCAUGACCUCUGAACUCUGACCGGCCUCUAACUUUGUCCUUGCUCCCUGCUGAUUCCUAUAACCUGCCAUAUGGUGUGCACUUCCCCUGCCCUAGUAAUGCUACCCAUCUCUGAACAUUUUUCCCUCUGGAUAUAACUGUACUUUUUCUUUUUUUUUUUUGCGGUACGCGGGCCUCUCACUGUUGUGGCCUCUCCCGUUGCGGAGCACAGGCUCCGGACGCGCAGGCUCAGC